rnacentral:lncRNA from 1 species
AUGAGAACAGGGCAAAGCAUGGCAAACGUCCUCAUCGGGAGUCAACCAGCAGCCCCGUUCCUUCUCUGUGUCGGAGAGAGGAAGAGUAGCAUCCAGAAUUACUUCAUCGUCAUGGAGCAAAAGGCCAUUCCCUGUGAGGCGAACACCACCGUCGCGGCCCUCGACGAACUCUUCAAGACGCACUUUGUGUUCGGCUUGUCCUACGACGAGCCUUUGUGUAACCUUUUCACGUUCGUGCAGACCACGAUGUACGGCAUCGACGUGGGCACUGCCAAGGAAAGUCCGAGAGUGAGAGAAAUCCGUGCCAGACUCCUCAACAACAGCCACUGAGAAGGAGACUGGGGGGGGGAUAUAUUUCACAAGUUUUAUUUGUGAGGUGCUCUUGAGAAAGUGUUACUUUUGUGUCAGUUUCACAUUGAGAAUUUCAUCACAUGUGUUUGUACCAUACAAUUCUGGUACUUCCAUGGGUAAAAAAAAAAAAAAAGUUGCGUAUUUGUACAGUUUUGUUUUGCUUGGAUGAAGGUAUCAGGAAUGCUGUAAAGGCACUGAACGGUAGUUAUCGAUCAUGGUGAUUCUGGUUAUAACCUACAGACAAUCAUAGGAUGUCGUCAUUGAGUCUUUUCAGUACAUUUACCAGGACAUGUAGGGUAGCUUUGAACGACCUAAAAUUUGUGAUUGGUGUUGACGAUCGAGUUCAACAGCCAAUCAAAUUACACCCCUCCUUCCGUACUCCUGAAGAACCGUACUGAUUGGCUGGAAUUUAUUGGCUUAGCUAAUUAGUUAUUUAAUGUAAAGUUCUCAGAAAUCAGCCACCACACUUAUGAUAAUGUAUAUGGACACAUGUUUGGAUUCUUGACCAUGUGGUCAAUAGUUGAUUGUACCUCCAGCUAAUUUCAAAACUUUCAUUUUUUUUAAAUAGCUUUAUACAUGUUUUUUUCUUUCUUUUAUUUAUUAUAUUGUUGAGUGAUGAUCAUAUGUGUGAUAUUUGAUAACGUUUGCUUUUUCAGAUGCCACCUGUAUAUUUGGAAAAAUGGCGACAUUUUAAUAAGAUGUUGAAACAUGUAACAGUGUUUUUUUACUGUUCUUGAGAAAUUUUAAUAAAAUGUUAAUGUCUAUGGAAUGCCCCA